rnacentral:rRNA from 1 species
GUGGUCGGGACGUUUAUUGGGCCUAAAGCAUCCGUAGCCGGUUCUACAAGUCUUCCGUUAAAUCCACCUGCUCAACAGAUGGGCUGCGGAAGAUACUAUAGAGCUAGGAGGCGGGAGAGGCAAGCGGUACUCGAUGGGUAGGGGUAAAAUCCGUUGAUCCAUUGAAGACCACCAGUGGCGAAGGCGGCUUGCCAGAACGCGCUCGACGGUGAGGGAUGAAAGCUGG